rnacentral:rRNA from 1 species
AUUGAACGCUGGCGGCAUGCCUUACACAUGCAAGUCGAACGGUAACAGGCCGCAAGGUGCUGACGAGUGGCGAACGGGUGAGUAAUGCAUCGGAACGUGCCCAGUCGUGGGGGAUAACGCAGCGAAAGCUGUGCUAAUACCGCAUACGAUCUGUGGAUGAAAGCGGGGGACCGAAAGGCCUCGCGCGAUUGGAGCGGCCGAUGUCAGAUUAGGUAGUUGGUGGGGUAAAGGCUCACCAAGCCAACGAUCUGUAGCUGGUCUGAGAGGACGACCAGCCACACUGGGACUGAGACACGGCCCAGACUCCUACGGGAGGCAGCAGUGGGGAAUUUUGGACAAUGGGCGCAAGCCUGAUCCAGCAAUGCCGCGUGCAGGAAGAAGGCCUUCGGGUUGUAAACUGCUUUUGUACGGAGCGAAAAGGCUCUCUCUAAUACAGGGGGCUCAUGACGGUACCGUAAGAAUAAGCACCGGCUAACUACGUGCCAGCAGCCGCCGCAGUAA